CUGGACCAGGCAUCCUUUAUCUGAGUAUCCAGUGCGUCGUAGAUAUCGGGAAGUAUUAGUCGUGUCACUCCUUUGAGGUCCUCAGGGCCCCUUGUCUAAGACUAGGGCUCUAGGACUUCAAACCUUAGGCUUAGAUUAAUUAAGUAGUACUAAUGGGGAAGAUCGUCUAGUUGUAUUGUGCUAAGCCAACCAUGGACUGGACCUUCGAGUUCCAGUCUAUCAUGGAGCUCUGGGACUUGCUGCAGCGCUUGAAAGAACAAGGAGCCGCGCAGUCAGACAGCGUGAACCAUCCCCAGCAGCCGGCGGAGCACUGAACAUGUCACUUUCAGCUUACACAAACUACUUACUUCUACUAUCUAAGUAAGCAGUCUGUCAGAGCUGAAACACGUUGCAUUUUCCAUGCUAUUAACAUGCUUUGCAUAUUAAUAGUUUUGAAAAUGCAAUGUUGUAAUCAUAUGAGAUGACUAAGGUAGGCGCGGAUUCAAUUGUAAGAGAUCGUGAGGACCAAUUUUUAAAUCACCUUUCUUGCAAAUAUUGGUCCUUCGGUCUUUAUUUUUGGAUCCGCGCCUGCACCCGUAACAACAUUCUACUUCAUUUUAAUCUUAUGUGAGAGUUGCAACAUUACAGUACAAUAUAACUAUUGUAGUGAAGCUACUCCUCGCAAGGGGAGGGGAGAAGAGGGGUUCACAAGAGCAUUAGUAAUGUGCGACACAUUGCUGGUACUCUUAACACUCUCAUUUAGUUAAGUUCGUCAACACUCUUCUCCUCUCUGUCAUAUACCAUGAUAAAUAUUUCAAAUCUUGUAAAUGCUUGAAUAGGUUAACGAAUUUUAUAAAAAAAGCUACUGUUGUCUUUAUUUCAGAAAUAGUUCACUUCAAUACAAUGUAAUUAGAUACAAUGGACGUUUACUUACAUAAGAAUAAAUUAAUGUGUAAU